CACUCUAACCAACUAAAAAGAAAUUUCGUCCUCGAAAUUAAAACAUACCUCAAUCCGAGAACAAGGCAGGAAACUUCUCUCUCAUCUCCUCCUCCAGCUCCCAAGUAGCUUCUCUCUCACUGUGAUUGCUCCACUGCACCUUUACAUAAGGAAUCGUGCGCCUCCUCAAAACUUGGUCCUUCCUAUCCAUUAUACGGAUAGGCUGCUCAACAUAAGAAAGAUCUGCGCGGAGCUGCAAAGGUGCCACUUCAAUCACAUGACUGGGAUCAGCAAUGUACCUCCUCAACAUAGAAACAUGAAAAACAGAAUGAACCCCCGAUAAGGCAGGUGGAAGUGCCAGCUUAUAAGCAACAGCUCCAACUCUCUCGAGAAUCUCGAAUGGUCCCACAUAU
rnacentral:lncRNA from 1 species